rnacentral:rRNA from 1 species
UGGGGAUGACGUCAAAUCAUCAUGCCCCUUAUGACCUGGGCUACACACGUGCUACAAUGGUUGGUACAACGAGUUGCGAGUCGGUGACGGCGAGCUAAUCUCUUAAAGCCAAUCUCAGUUCGGAUUGUAGGCUGCAACUCGCCUACAUGAAGUCGGAAUCGCUAGUAAUCGCGGAUCAGCACGCCGCGGUCGAAUACGUUCCCGGGCCUU